GAUGAACGCUAGCUACAGGCUUAACACAUGCAAGUCGAGGGGAAACGAUAGAGAAAGCUUGCUUUUUCUAGGCGUCGACCGGCGCACGGGUGAGUAACGCGUAUCCAACCUGCCCAUCACUUGGGGAUAACCUUGCGAAAGUAAGACUAAUACCCAAUGAUAUCUCUAGAAGACAUCUGAAAAGAGAUUAAAAGAUUUAUCGGUGAUGGAUGGGGAUGCGUCUGAUUAGCUUGUUGGCGGGGUAACGGCCCACCAAGGCGACGAUCAGUAGGGGUUCUGAGAGGAAGGUCCCCCACAUUGGAACUGAGACACGGUCCAAACUCCUACGGGAGGCAGCAGUGAGGAAUAUUGGUCAAUGGACGAGAGUCUGAACCAGCCAAGUAGCGUGCAGGAUGACGGCCUAUGGGUUGUAAACUGCUUUUAUAAGGGAAUAAAGUGAGUCUCGUGAGGCUUUUUGCAUGUACCUUAUGAAUAAGGACCGGCUAAAUUCCGUGCCAGCAG
rnacentral:rRNA from 1 species